AUUGAACGCUGGCGGCAGGCCUAACACAUGCAAGUCGAACGAGUGGGGACGGGUGAGUAACGCGUGGGUAACCUCCCAUCAGAGGGGAUAACACUUGGAAACAGGUGCUAAACCGAUACUGCUGGAUGGACCUGGGGUGCAUUAGCUAGUUGGUGGGGUAACGGCUAACCAAGGCCACGAUCCAUAGCCGACCUGAGAGGGUGAUCGGCCACACUGGAACUGAGACACGGCCCAGACUCCUACGGGAGGCAGCAGUGGGGAAUCUUCGGCAAUGGGCGAAAGUCUGACCGAGCAACGCCGCGUGAGUGAAGAAGGUUUUCGGAUCGUAAAGCUCUGUUGUUAGGGAAGCGUUAUUUAACCAGAAAGCCACGGCUAACUACGUGCCAGCAGCCGCGGUAAUUC
rnacentral:rRNA from 1 species